UAAGGGGUCUGUUGCGCCACAGGGGUCUCCAGGGCCCUCGCGGGUUGGGGUGGUCUGAGCUAGUCUGAAGGAGGACAGUCAGCUGACUUCUCCUUUAUCUCUCUUUCCCAGGAUAGCAGGUUCCCUUGGUGUAUUACAGUCUCUGAAGUGUUGAUUCCCUUUUCAAUUGAUUCCACAGAUGACAGUCCUGACGUUUAAAAAAUUGCCAGAUACCUUUAAUUUUUUUUUUUUUUUUUUAACAGAACACAAACUUAAGCCAGAUUGCCUAGGAUUGAACCUUGGCCUCUCACUUCCUAGCCGAGUGGCCUUGGCUAGUUAACCACCUUCGUGAGCCUCAGUUUUCUCAUCUGUAAAAUGGGAGUUCUAAGUGUCUACCUCACAGAGCUGUGAUUGAAAGGAUAAAUAGCACCUGGCACAUAGCGGUGUAGAAGUGCUUAUUAUUGUUAAUAUUUUAUUUACCUUCACGCAGCUCACAGUGGCGGAAGUGGACUAAGACAUCAUGUUGCCUCAAGUUUAAUUGGAAAUCGUG
rnacentral:lncRNA from 1 species